CCCAGCGUGGGGCCCUGCAAUGGGCAGCACAUCCCACUCGCCUCUGCACCCAUGGGAUGCAGAUCCCUGAGGUGAUGCCUCCCAGACCCCGCUCUGUCAGUUGACAUUGGGAACGACCCCUGCUCUCACUCCCAUUACUCCCAGUGCGGACACUGGGCACGGCGGUGGCGAUCACAGCGUGGCGGGGCAGGAAGGGGCUUCGGGCCCGAGCCCUGCAUUGCACAGCCACGUCCAGUUUGGAGCCAUCGCCUCGAGCUGUGCACCAGAGCCACCUCCAGCCUUUGAGCCAGCAUCCCGGCACCUUCCUGCACCCGCAUCCCCCCUCCGCAGGCUCCACCACAGGGUACAGCCAGGAAGGUCCCAGUCCCAACACCCCAUGGUACCCCAUUGGGUACCCCAACAGGUUAUGCUCAGAGGGUCUUCUGCAAUGGAUUUUUGACAUGCAGCUGCCCCCAUUAUGCAGGCUCAGUGAGACCCUCCCAGGCUGAUCAGCUCAACAUCUGUGAAAUCAGAGGGAUGAGGAGCACGAGAGCUGCCCAUCAGCAGGAUCCUGCGCUGUGCUGGAGCGUCACAAGGAAAGGAAGUUUGCUUCAGAAAGUCUCCAUAACCCAUGAGUCUGGAGCAGCCAUUUCUGUCACCAUCCCCAUCGUGUCUCACUGCUCCUGAACCCCAAGAAAACCAUUAGACAGAUAUUUUGGAUCAAUGAGAACCAGAAGGACCUCUGCUCCUCCAGCCAAGCGAGGACUCUUUUAACUGCGCACACGGAAAACGCAUCCCAUGAGCAGAUCCCCUCCCCUCACAGGUCCGCUUUCGUUGCCUUUUAGCACGAGGGAGAUUUAUUCACUCUGUGGGCUCUUUAAAAGGUGUUUUCUUUAUAGCCAGGCUUCUCCUGCUUUAGGUGAGAUUAGGAGGUCGUAUUUCAUGAGUGCUCGUGGAUCCCCUUUCUGAAGCCCUAAUGAACUAUGGAUGAGUGACCGCGGUAAUCCAGUCUGUGCAGGAGCUCAUUAAAGUCACCGAGUCCACUAUAAUAACUAGUUGCAUCUGAUCAGAUUACUUCUUCAAGAUGCUGUUUCCACUGGUGAACAAGAGCCUGCUCUUAUCCUAGUGUGGGCAGCAGGAGCCUUGCUCUGGGCUCGGUGAGCGGGGAGCUGGCUCUUGCCUCGUGCACCAUUAACAAGGUACAAUAUGAUGAGCUUACAGUGCAGAAAGGCCAUGGGAUUUCCCAUUGCUGCUUUGCUUGGCCAAGCCCAGCUGGAGCAGGAGCCUCAUAUUGAGCUGGAGGAAAGCAAUGGGCACUAAGGAAUGAUCCAGCUGUUUCCCAGUUAUAAAUGGAGAUUUUGGGAAAGGGCUGGCAAGCAACUGCCCAGACCCCCAUCCAGCCCAGACCUGUGUGAAUAGUGUUGGUAAAACAGAUCCCAGCACAGUGGUAAAAUGGGAUGCAGUGGGGUCUCCCCUCCUGCCCCACACUGAGGUGGUCACCCCAGUCCCUUCCUUACUGAAAGCAGAAGCAGGCAGCCCUGCAAAUAUCCAGAGGAGGAGAGGCAAAAAGGCCAGAUCCAUCUGCAGAAAGCACAGGCAGGAAUUGUUUCUUUGUCUCGGGAAGUGUCAGCGAAAGAAAUUCCCUUUGAGGAUAGGUUUGUGUUUGCAAGACUUCAAACCCCUCAUCUGGACAAUAACAGCUUCUGUCUAAGGGAAUCAGGCCCGUAAGGUACAGGCCAAGCCUGCAGUAUUAGACUGGACAGUAAUGAGGGCUCUGGUGCUGAUAAGGGCGCAGAGCUCAGCCACCUUCUGCUCUGCUCAUGCCAGAGGGGUGAGUGUGCAUCCCGCCCGGCUGCGUGCAGGGCUCCCAGCGGCACAGAGGCACCGGGGGAUGUAAACAACGGGUAGUCUGGCCUGAACAGGGCUCCCCAUUGC